rnacentral:rRNA from 1 species
AACGAACGCUGGCGGCAUGCCUAACACAUGCAAGCCGAACGAGAUCUUCGGAUCUAGUGGCGCACGGGUGCGUAACGCGUGGGAAUCUGCCCUUGGGUUCGGAAUAACUUCUGGAAACGGAAGCUAAUACCGGAUGAUGACGUAAGUCCAAAGAUUUAUCGCCCAGGGAUGAGCCCGCGUAGGAUUAGCUAGUUGGUGAGGUAAAGGCUCACCAAGGCGACGAUCCUUAGCUGGUCUGAGAGGAUGAUCAGCCACACUGGGACUGAGACACGGCCCAGACUCCUACGGGAGGCAGCAGUGGGGAAUAUUGGACAAUGGGCGAAAGCCUGAUCCAGCAAUGCCGCGUGAGUGAUGAAGGCCUUAGGGUUGUAAAGCUCUUUUACCCGGGAUGAUAAUGACAGUACCGGGAGAAUAAGCUCCGGCUAACUCCGUGCCAGCCGCCGCGGUAA